rnacentral:rRNA from 1 species
UACGGGGGGAGCAAGCGUUGUUCGGAUUUACUGGGCGUAAAGGGCGCGUAGGCGGUCGUGACAAGUCACUUGUGAAAUCUCCGGGCUUAACUCGGAACGGUCAAGUGAUACUGUCGGACUAGAGUACAGAAGGGGCAACUGGAAUUCUCGGUGUAGCGGUAGAAAUGCGUAGAUAUCUGGAGGAAUACCGGUGGCGAAGGCGGCAUCCUGGACCGGCAUUGACGCUGAUGAGCGAAAGCUAGGGGAGCAAACGGGG